GUAGGUGGCAAGCGUUGUCCGGAAUUAUUGGGCGUAAAGCGCGCGCAGGGCGGUCCUUUAAGUCUGAUGUGAAAGCCCACGGCUCAACCGUGGAGGGUCAUUGGAAACUGGGGGACUUGAGUACAGAAGAGGAAAGCGGAAUUCCAAGUGUAGCGGUGAAAUGCGUAGAGAUUUGGAGGAACACCGGUGGCGAAGGCGGCUUUCUGGUCUGUAACUGACGCUGAGGCGCGAAAGCGUGGGGAGCAAACAGGAUUAGAUACCCUGGUAGUCCACGCCGUAAACGAUGAGUGCUAAGUGUUAGGGGGUUUCCGCCCCUUAGCGCUGCAGCUAACGCAUUAAGCACUCCGCCUGGGGAGUACGGCCGCAAAGGCUG
rnacentral:rRNA from 1 species